CCUUAUCACUUUUCCAGCCCAGCUGUGUGACUCUAGUGUUGGACGGAGAACUGAUAAGGGU
rnacentral:pre_miRNA from 1 species